CCCCCCACCCGGCGGGAGCGUCCAUGUGAGCUGGAAGCGCAGCUCUAGGAGUCCUUGAGCAUGCUGAUGCGGGCGUAGAUCUUGAGGGCUGGCCCCAGUUUGAUGUUCAUGGUGCUCAUCAGGUGGUCCUCCUUCAGCAGCAGCAGCGCCUGCCCGUCGAUCUCCUGUGCACGGAACUCCUCUGCGAUCUCCUGGCAGCCCGGCAGCGAGCGGAUGAACUCGUAGACGUCCUCCACGUUCCACUUGCUGGGCUCGCUGGG
rnacentral:lncRNA from 1 species